rnacentral:sRNA from 1 species
UAAGCACUGAGAUUCUUUCUAUUGUGAAUCUGGCCCUGUCCGUGCUGCCAUAGUCUCUGUGAACUCAUAUGUUCUUAAGUGAUUAUUAACAUUGUGUGUCAAGCUACAAUGUUCGGUUAUUUUUGCUCUUACAUCAAUCACUUGAAAGAUAUCAGUUCUCUUAUUGCCGGUUUCCAGCAUGCUUCUUCCUUCAUUUCUUCCUUCUGCUGGUUAUUACUCCCUGCAUCUUAUCUGACCACCUCUUCCCCUCUCUACCUGUACUCCUGGUAGAGAUGAUUGCUUUCUGAAUUUAUAUAGAAGUGUGGCAAAUGUCUGGUCAAUCAGAACUGCACAUUUUUCUUGUCUUGGACAAUUUGUUCAAAGAAGAGUAAUGACCCAGGCAGAGCGAGAACACUGUAAUAGCCCUACAUUGGAGGUUCUUGACUGUACAUUCAGUUACAUUGGAAAUCAAGUUUGUAAAAAAUGGACUCAUCUUGUCUCAACAGAGAAUCUGGGAGCAAAGUCAACCAUUGAAAAUGAGCAGAACCCCAAAAUACAAAGAAGACCUUUAUACUUCUGAACUUUGUCUGAGUUUCCCAUCCAGCUAUACCAACAAGUAACGAGUGUGAAGACACGGAGCAAAUGAGGCCAGGUGCAUGGCCGCAAAGUUCCAGAAAGCGACCAGGCAGAUGAAAUCUCUCAGCCUCUCUCGAAUUCCCUUAAAUUUCCCAGAAGCUGCUGUUUUUCCUUAUGUUAUCUAAGGCUUAUGUGGACUUUCCUUUUCCAGAAGACACCAUGGCUAUAGGAGAAAGGGAUCCACUUGCCCAUAUUAAAUAGGCCAAGCCACCUGCAUCUUGGAAUGUUGUCUGAUAUCAGCUUUGGCCUCCCAAAUGCUGAUAUCAGCAUCCGUCAUGAUCCUCAGCCAGAGAAGAACUUCUUAAGACUUCAAAGUUUAACCCAUAAGGAUCAGCAUUUGACUAAAUUUGCUAAGAGUGUAUCAUGUGAAAAUGAUGUUUGGAGUUCUAAGAUAUCUGGAAGAAAUCCAGUUGUGUGAGGUGGCUACAAUCACUGUAUCAGUUAUCAACUGCACUUGUCUGUAAGACACCUGUACACCGUUGGCUAAAUGAGUAUUCCUGAUGUUCUGGCCUCUGGGUCUCCAUUGAUAACGAAGAGACUGUCCUUCCAAAGUUAGUAGUAUUAGAGCUAUCUUCUUACAGAGGAUGAAUGAUGCCUACGAGAAUCAUUAUGGAAAAAUCUUACAAAUCCAGUAUUGAAAAUUAAUAAAGCUGACGAAAAUAUACAUGACUCCAGAGCUAAAGCGCAGCCUUAAGGAGGUGCGUACCUUGAAAGAAAAUAUUCCAUGGCUCUGAGGCGUGCUUUCGUUUUGGGAGUGUUGGAGUGGACGGCUGCACCAAGAGGAACUUGUAAGCACAUAUCUGAAGAGGUCUCCAUUAGUGGGGCAUCUCUUUCUGCGACAUCUGGUGCUAUUUCUGUUUGCCGGGCAGAGUGGUGUCUGACAAGGCUUCAGCCUGGGAAAUGUCUUUCUCCACAUCCUCACUAAAAUUUCUUCCGAGUUCACUGGGAGCUCUGCAGUGUGUGCUUUCAGUAUGAUGUAAGUAACAGGUUUUUCUCUUCUGAUGCCAUUUGUGUCUUCUUACAAUACAUGUAUACAGCUUCUGUGCUAUUUCAUAUCCCAUUAGGUUUUAACAUUGCUGGUAUCUACGACAAUGGCCAUUGUGACAUCUUGAGUGGACCCUGUGAUGUUCACAGCUUUCUUCUCUGUUGGUAUAAGUUAACUUAUAGCUGCUAUAAUUUCCCUUUCCUCACUCCCCUGCUAGGGCUGUAAGCUUCUCUUUGUAAUUAUGAAUAUAAAUGUCUUCUAGGAAGGGGGUAGCUCCAUAGUCUGUCUGGGAACUAGACUUCUCUUUCUAGCUAGUUCGAAAAUAAAACAAAUACGACACCAUCUUUUGCAUUUUGGAUACAAGUGAUAAAAUAUUAUAGUUUGAGAUGUACCAUUUCAUGGUUUAAAUUGUUAUCUGUUGCCAGAAAAUGCUAAGACCUAACAAACCCCUUUAAGCCUUCUCUUAGAACGUGUAUUUACUACUGGUGAUAGGUGAUACAGAUGAUUAGGAGAGUGAAAUUGAAACCCAUGGCCUU